AACUUCACGUGCUGGACAGUUUGUAACAGCACUUGCAGAGCAGAAUGCCUCCAGAGGAAUAUUACAUUUCAGAGACAGAAACAGAAGAAAACAUUGCUUCCAGCAGACAUCCACAGAGACAGAUUCAGAAGUCCCUGUGAUGAUUUCAGAAUUAUGGAGAACCUUGAGGGCAUUCCCUGCCAUUCAGCAUUCCAGUAACUGCCAUGGGGAUGGAUAACUACAGUACUACAGAUCACAAGAUGUAGUAGCAAAGAGUGAGAAGUGAACUCAUCUCCUGUACCAACCAGAAUUAGAUCUAAAAAGCAAGGUUCACAAAGUUGAGGAGCAUGAUAGUUUUGCCUAAGGACAAGGAGGCAAAGUUCUCACCAAGGUUCACCUGUACUACUGAACAUGGCAAUGGAAAGGGCUUUCCAUCCUCAUCCAUCAUUUCCAGAUCUAUUUCCUAAGAUGAGGCCAGAACAGGGACAGGCAGCAUUUGCAGGCCAUGGGGCAGCACCCUGGGGAACUGGCUGACAGUUUUCCACCUGGACAAAGUAUUUGGGAAGCUGAAAUGGAUGGAUGGAUGCCUCCUCCCUUACAGUGCAACCCGAGAUUUGCCUCUUGAUCUAUUAUAUUUAAGCUCAUGUUAUGGUAAGGGGAAAUCACAUUCAAGCUAUAUUUUAUUGAGCUGUCACAGGAAGGAUUGGGACUUUUAUCUGCUUCUUGUGAUGUAGUUAAAAGGAGAAAAUACUGCAGCAUUUCACCAUAGUCUCAGUAAUAAUUACAUUCCAAUUGAGUAAAGUGAGCACAGUAGGUAAAAAUACCACACUGUAACAGAAAAUUUGUUUCUUAAUCCUGAAGUCAGGUUUCACACUUUCAUUCUCAAGUUUUUCACAGCAAGAUUAACACAGACAGUAAAUGAUGGUGUUUCCUGCCAAAUCAACCCCAGGAAAUACAGGAAUGCCAGUCAUUGCAAAUUACACCUCACCGGAUUUCCAGCACAAAACAGAGGCAGUAAAUUCCCUAUUCCCUGUUUAUCACAAAUUAACACCAGUGCCACUGAAGCUUGACCAGGAAAGGCAAAUAACCCUCCCCAGCAGAAAGGAACUAGAAGGACAUCUGUGCUAAUGCUUUGCCUUAUCUCCAUACUCAUUAUUUAAACUUAGAAUGAAAUGAGUUGUAAGAUUUGGUUUUGUUCAGAGAUAUUAGCAUCAGGGCAGUUUAUCCAGGCUCACGAGGUGACUUAGAAAUAAUUUGGGAUAAGGGACCUCAGCUUAAUUCCUGGGAAAACAGAAGUGGAAGACCACUGGAACUGUUCUGCUUCUUUCCUUCUCCAACCAAAGAGGGACAUUGGAGCCACCACUGCCCUGGAGCACAGGGCUCUGCAGCCCAGCUCCUGCACAGCCCCAGCUGCAGCAGCAAGCGACCUGGCCAAGGGCACAGAGCUGCAGGUGUUACCCUGUGCUGCUUUCAAACAGUAGCAAGCCCCAGCUGAAGAGGGCAGAAGUAUCACCAAGCGAACCCUUUAAAUGAACAGUCUCAGCAAACAGGCAAUCCAUAGGAAACUUCAAUCAUUAAUUAAGGAUCACGGCCUUUGCCUGG
ensembl:lncRNA